UGUGUUCAGAUACUUUCUUGAGUAAUAAUCCAUGUGUUCAUUGAUCGAUACUCUCACUGUAACCUACACAUUUACUUUAUGCAGAAAUGAAGUCAGUAGAGGGGUAAGUCAUGCACUAUCAGUGGAGUUGUGUGAUGUAUGGUAAUGGUGACUAAGCUAGAGUUUAGUACAUUGAAUCAUCCAAGGUUAGUAAUGAUUUACUUUCACCUUUCAUAUCUGCAGAAGUGAAGUAGUGAUUUUACAUUAUGUAAGUCCUUCCUGUUUUCAAA
rnacentral:lncRNA from 1 species